rnacentral:lncRNA from 1 species
GUAAGCCUGGGUGAAACAUCUGCAAGUUUGGCUUAUAUUUAAGAUUGUACUCUUAUAUUCCUGACAGAUUUAUAUUAUUAAAGAUCCACGACGAUGAGCGACGAUGGCGGAGGAUGUGAUUCUGGAGGAGGAUGUGAUUCUGGAGGAGGAUGUGAUUAUGGAGGAGACUGUGAAUCUGGAGGAGGAGGAUGUGAUUCUGGAGGAAGAGACAGCUCCGACUGUAGUGACAGAGAUGACGGAGGCGAUAACACUCACGAGGACUGCUUCGAAUACGUGGAGACUUCGAGUGGUCAUCGUAUCAAGAUGCCGAAGUCGCGGUCGAGGCGAAGGAAGAGCAGUUCGAACAACGAUUGUGUGAUGUAUGGGAUACUGGCUAUUGUUGUCAUUGGGUUGAUUAUAUAUUUGUUGUAUAGGUUUGUUUUUUAAUUAAGCUUCGGGUGUGAGUUUGUUUUCACUCUCUCUCUCUCUCUCUCUCUCUCUCUCUCUCUCUCUCUCUCUCUCUCUCUCUCUCUCUCUCUCUCUCUCUCUCUCUCUCUCUCUUUCUCUCGUUAUCUCUAUCUAUUCAUCUAUCAACCUACCUAUUAAGCUCUCAAAUUUCCAUUGUUAUUUUUAAGAUAUACUGUAAUAUCUCGCUAUCCUGUGAGAAAUUAUAUUGUUAAUGAUAGGUUAUGUUAUAUCCGUGUCUGAAUCAAAAAGUACAUAUGAAAAGUUUGUUACAAAUAUUAUAGUAAAUAAAUAAUCUUAAUGUCAACUCUUUGAAGAUGACACUUUUGUCAAUUCAAAUACAAGAAGUAUCAUGACAAAACUCAUGUCAUCAUCACUUUUGUUAUUCAUCCCACAACAUCCUUAAAGAAUACUUGAGAUCAUAUUAUUAUAAUGGUUAAUGAUUUGUGACACUAAGGAAGUAGUUUUGUACUUGUGUAAUAAAAGUGAUAUAUGAAAA